GCCGCGAUAGCUCAGUUGGGAGAGCGUUAGACUGAAGAUCUAAAGGUCCCCGGUUCAAUCCCGGGUCGCGGCA
rnacentral:tRNA from 1 species